UACAGAGGUCUCAAGCGUUGUUCGGAUUCAUUGGGCGUAAAGGGUGCGUAGGUGGCGCGCUAAGUCAGGUGUGAAAUUUCGGAGCUUAACUCCGAAACUGCAUUUGAUACUGGUGUGCUUGAGGACUGGAGAGGAGACUGGAAUUCAUGGUGUAGCAGUGAAAUGCGUAGAGAUCAUGAGGAAGACCAGUGGCGAAGGCGGGUCUCUGGACAGUUACUGACACUGAGGCACGAAGGCCAGGGGAGCAAACGGG
rnacentral:rRNA from 1 species